CUGACUGACCGAUAGUGAACCAGUACCGUGAGGGAAAGGCGAAAAGAACCCCGGCGAGGGGAGUGAAAAAGAACCUGAAACCGUGUACGUACAAGCAGUGGGAGCCUCUUUAUGGGGUGACUGCGUACCUUUUGUAUAAUGGGUCAGCGACUUAUAUUCUGUAGCAAGGUUAACCGAAUAGGGGAGCCGAAGGGAAACCGAGUCUUAACUGGGCGUUAAGUUGCAGGGUAUAGACCCGAAACCCGGUGAUCUAGCCAUGGGCAGGUUGAAGGUUGGGUAACACUAACUGGAGGACCGAACCGACUAAUGUUGAAAAAUUAGCGGAUGACUUGUGGCUGGGGGUGAAAGGCCAAUCAAACCGGGAGAUAGCUGGUUCUCCCCGAAAGCUAUUUAGGUAGCGCCUCGUGAAUUCAUCUCCGGGGGUAGAGCACUGUUUCGGCAAGGGGGUCAUCCCGACUUACCAACCCGAUGCAAACUGCGAAUACCGGAGAAUGUUAUCACGGGAGACACACGGCGGGUGCUAACGUCCGUCGUGAAGAGGGAAACAACCCAGACCGCCAGCUAAGGUCCCAAAGUCAUGGUUAAGUGGGAAACGAUGUGGGAAGGCCCAGACAGCCAGGAUGUUGGCUUAGAAGCAGCCAUCAUUUAAAGAAAGCGUAAUAGCUCACUGGUCGAGUCGGCCUGCGCGGAAGAUGUAACGGGGCUAAACCAUGCACCGAAGCUGCGGCAGCGACACUAUGUGUUGUUGGGUAGGGGAGCGU
rnacentral:rRNA from 1 species